rnacentral:rRNA from 1 species
AACGAACGCUGGCGGCAUGCCUAACACAUGCAAGUCGAACGAGACCUUCGGGUCUAGUGGCGCACGGGUGCGUAACGCGUGGGGACCUGCCCUUAGGUUCGGAAUAACUCCCCGAAAGGGGUGCUAAUACCGGAUAAUGUCUUCGGACCAAAGAUUUAUCGCCUUUGGAUGGGCCCGCGUUGGAUUAGCUAGUUGGUAGGGUAAAAGCCUACCAAGGCGACGAUCCAUAGCUGGUCUGAGAGGAUGAUCAGCCACACUGGGACUGAGACACGGCCCAGACUCCUACGGGAGGCAGCAGUGGGGAAUAUUGGACAAUGGGCGAAAGCCUGAUCCAGCAAUGCCGCGGGAGUGAUGAAGGCCUUAGGGUUGUAAAGCUCUUUUACCCGGGAUGAUAAUGACAGUACCGGGAGAAUAAGCUCCGGCUAACUCCGU